rnacentral:rRNA from 1 species
CGUGGCGAACGGGUGAGUAACACGUGGGCAACCUGCCCCGAGACUUCGGGAUAACGCUUCGAAAGAGGUGCUAAUACCGAAUACGAACGCCGUGGGCAUCCACGGUGUUGGAAAGUUUUUCGGUCUGGGAUGGGCCCGCGGCCUAUCAGCUUGUUGGUGAGGUAAUGGCUCACCAAGGCGACGACGGGUAGCCGGCCUGAGAGGGGCGAACCGGGCCCACACUGGGACUGAGACACGGCCCAGACUCCUACGGGAGGCAGCAGUGGGGAAUAUUGCGCAAUGGCGAAAGCCUGACGCAGCAACGCCGCGUGGGGGAUGAAGGCCUUCGGGUUGUAAACCUCUUUCAGCAGGGAAGAAGCGAAAGUGACGGUACCUGCAGAAGAAGCACCGGCUAACUACGUG